rnacentral:misc_RNA from 1 species
CACAUACGCUUCGACUUGUGCGUCGACGAAGGGGAGGACGGAGAGGGGGCUCGACCACAGCGCAACCGCCCUUCCCUUCAGAAGCGGCCCAUUCACAUCGCCGCCUUCAUCUCUUCUUAUCACGCUUCCUCCCUUUGCUUCGUAUCUCCCUGUGUGUGCGAUCAUCAUCAGCGCCGCCUACUUCUUCCCCCCUCCCUUCCCCCUCCUCCCAUGAAGUACUUCUCGUGUCAGCCGGACUCCCACAACGCGUUCGGGUCGUUGACGAACGGCGUUCUGACGUACUUCACGGUGGACUGCGCGCGCUACCGACGCGUGGCGGCGAACGGCAUUGACGAUGCGGCAGAGCUGCACACCCCUGCCACAGGGGAAGGCGCGGCUGUAGGAGGCAGCGCGCCAUCGCAGUGGCCCGGCCAGCAUCCCUUCACGGCUUCCUCCUCGUCCACCAGCCACAGCGCAGGGUAUGGUGUUACCCAGCACGACGUGCACUUCACCACCGAAACGCGCAUGCACAUCCAGCGCACGCUGACCCUGCCAAGCCCCUUCCAAGGAACUCAGUGCUUCUUUAGCAUGGCAAAUCGUACCGUCUUUGGCACCGAUAUGGCGUUCAUCGGUGCCGCCAACGGCUUAUUGGCCCUCGCCGUGCUUCAGGAGGAUCUGCUGCUGUACGUGCGAGGAAAAGACCCGCAGAGCCUGCGUGAGCAACUGCAGCGUGAACAUGCGGAGUCGUCCUCUAUCCUGAGGCGUUGCUCCGCCUCGUUGGCGUCGGUCUCCGCCUCCGACAGCGGCGUGACCGUCCGUCGGCCUCCCUCGCCGCCAGCCACCUCUCUGACGCUGUUAUCCCCAUCGAAGGGCGGAGCUGGAGGCGGCCGCCCUCUCUCUUUCCCUUCCUUCACUGGUGGUGCCGCUGCUGCGGCGAGGACCAGCAGGUCGUCCUCGUCGUUCCAGGGGAGGGAUCCCUCUUCCAACGCAGCCGCCUCCACGUCACUGUCGCCGCACAGAGGCAGAGGGGUAGUCCGUGGACUGUAUCGCAGAGACGCUCCUUCCACGAUUACAUGGAUGCGCAACAAACCGCUCGUGCUGGUGGGCUACACCUCAGGGUGGGUGGAGUGGUACGAGGUAUCUAUCUCUGCUGCAUACCGGAAAGAGUUGCUGGACCCGGCGAAGGAGAUCCCAUACGGCGCGUCGGUGACGCCUAGCGCCUUUGCCUACCGGGCCCUGAACCGUGACUCCCUCACCAGCCACGCCGCCCGCGUCGCUGUCGGAGGCCAGAUAGCGGGCCUGCGGGCUGAGCUGGUCGCCUCGUGCGUUCUUGCGGAGGCUGGAGCACUUGUGUCCAGCGACUACUUCGCCGCCAACGGCACGGUCGCCGUUGGGAGCGAGCGCGGCAUCAUCUUCCUGUUCGACGCCGACCAGCUAGAGACACCGCUGUGCGAGGUGCAACUGAGCACGCCGAGCGCGGCCUUCCUAUAUUGUCACCCUUUCCUACCCAUUGUAGGUGUGCUGUCGCAAUCCGUCUGGACCGGAGCAGAGGAGCAGACGACCUCGACGGCAGCAGCAGCGGCGCGGAGGAGACGGGACAACAGCCCGACCUUGCACCUUACGGACAGCCACAACAGUGACGUGGUGAGGCCAUCGGUAGGCCAGGCGGACGGCGCCGUCGGCGCUGGUGUAGGAGGUCCGCAGCGUGGCGUCACGAGCGGCAAGCGCGGCCCGACGGCCUUUCCACUCGUACCGCUGCAGGGCUCACGAAGUGACCUGGGCAGCGGCCCGCAGCAGCACUCCUCUCCUUCCGGAGCCACGCCGUCGGCAGCAGCCCAGGGGACGCCGAAGCCGGACCGUCACGUCGGGUGGCAUGAAGUGAGUCCUGCGGCGCUGAUGAGCGGGGAAAACGUCGCUGAGGCCUUCUCGAGCGGCAUCGAUGCAACGUCACCGUUUGGGCUCUACAGUAGCGGUAGCGCCGUUCCCGAGGCCGGCGCUGCUUCGGCGUUGCACUCCGGCUGCUUGCUGACGUUUGUUGAGUACCGCAAGGACCCCCCGCCGCGGCUGUUGUCGCGCACCUGGACCGGGGCCCAACCCCCAACGCCGUCGCAUCGGCUGACGCAGGUGCUGCAGCACCGAAUGGAGGGCGCGGCGGCACGGUACGGCACGUAUUACACCUUCUCGUGGAAGUUUAGCUUUGAUUUGGAGCUCGCCGUCGGCAACCUCGAGGAAGGGGCGCUGCACAUCGUCCGCGCGGCUCACAUCAUGGACAGGGAUGCAGGCUCUGACGCCGGCGACGCGGCUGACGAGGAGGACAGAGAGGGCAGCGCAGCGGACGGUGAGCGGGGCGUGCCGGCACCAGCCGCCAGCACCACCUCCGCCGCCCACCCGAGCUCGUAUCAGGUGGUGCAAGACUACAACGUUCGUCUGCCGUUGCACUCCCUUGUGAACGUCGAGUACGUGUCCGCCGCCACGUCGUCGCUCAGCGCGCUAGACAACGCAGCCGCCGUCACAGAAGCGGAGAUGAUUGCCGGGAGCAACGGCACGGGUAGCACCACAGCGGAGCAGUCGCUCUUUCAGCGAGAUGCAGAGCGGAGCCAGCGGCAGACAGCACUGCUUGGCGCCGCCGUGGACCCGAGGUGCCGCCUCGGCUUCUCUUCGGUCUCCCCAUCUCAGGCAAGCGCCGUUGCGGGGGUGUUGUGCCGACCCGCGAAUCCACUCUGGGCUGGCCUGGCUGUGGUGUCGAUGCCGCGUGGUGGCCGACAACACGAGCGCGGCCACAGCGGCGAUGCUCAUCGCUACGUCGGCCAGCUGGACCUGUUUGGCGCUGGCAGAGGCCACGCUGGGGCCUUUGGCGUCUUGUACUCCCCAGCGAGCAUGAGGGCCGGCGAUGGCGCAGCAGGUGUGAUUGGAGGUGCGGGCGCGAGUGGCUGUGCCGCAGACGGCGGCGGCCCACUGCUGAAGGAGAACGUGCUGGCGGCGGCGAUGCGGCAGCCGUUCUGCGGGGAUGCCGGCGCCAUUGGCGGCACGCGCCAUCAUCGGCGAUACACUGGAGAGAUGGGCAACAUCAGCGGCACCGAUGCUACGUCAAGCCGCUGGUUUUACUCAUCAGCCAUAACCUCCGUCUCCACGCAGCAGUCGCAUCAGCAGCGCCGGCGAGAGCAGCAACGGCGCCGCCGCGACCCGCGGGCACCCGCCAUCACAGUCCCCAGCUACGCGGCGAUGAGCACCAAGAACGAAAUUGCAAGUGCGGCGCUGAUCGCGGCUGAUCAGCGUGUUGACCUCCACGACGCGCUUCGAAUAGGACCUGGCAAUGUGUCAUGUGUCGCGGUAAUGAACGCGGCGGGCGAGGUAGCGUCCGUGCCGAUCGAGGUACGGGCCGUGUCCGCGUGGCACGAGGCGGGCAGCGUGUUCGUCGGUCUCGGCCCCACGCUGUACGCCGCCGACCUUGUCUCCAUCCAGGGCAUCGAGCAACUCAUGCGGCGGCGCUACGCUGCCGGCUUUGGUCUCUCGUCCGUGGCCAACCUCGCCGCGGUAAAGGAGGUGGGCGGCUUUGGCAGCGAGGAUGUGGCCAUGCUGUUCUCGUACGUGGUUACGCUGGAGGCGGUCUCGCUCGUGGCUUUGUCCGGGCCUGUGCCAUCGCUGAUGGAGCUGCUGCACAGCUCUCCUGUUACCGGGCGUGGUGCUCUACAAAGAGAGGCGGCGGCGAGGGUGCAGGCGCGUUUGGGGCCUGCGUGGCGCGCCAAGAUAGAGGCGUGCGUGUGCCACGAGGAUCUGUGCUGCCUUUUGGUGUUGCAGGUGCUGCGUUGGCUGCCGCCAUCACUGACGGAAGAGGCCGGGCAGCCGUGGCGAGGCAUAGCGCAGCCGCCGCUCCUUGCGGACACGACACCCGCGCUUGGGGAGAAUAGCACCAACGUGGACAUUGAGCGCGCCGUCGCGGUGGAGGUGACGCACGGGCGCCACACCGAGGCAGCUGGGCUGCUUCUCCGGUUUGCCAGCCGCUCUCCGAGCUACGGCGCCAUGGCGACCCUUCUUCGCCGUCGCGAGGAGGCGCAGGCCAUGGUGUGUAACAGCGACCCCCGCGUGUGUGCGGCGUUUCGUGCUUCCCUCACCCCGUGGUUGCUCGUCGUCUUCCACUGCUUGUGCGGCCCCUGCGAUGGAGCGCCGCACUACCAGUCGCACGGCGCGGCGGCGGACGAGAAGGGGCUACACGACGAUGCGGCCUCCGUACGGACGGUACUGCCCCCGCACCUCUACCGGCAUUCGGCUUUGCCCUUUUGGGAUCGCGUCGCCUUGGCAGUGGUCAUGGAGGCGGGCACGACGGCUGCCUUCACUCACGUCAUGCAGGACAUCCUCCUACGAGAGUGCAACCCGAUUCAGGCGCUGCUGCUCCAGUAUGGUAUUCACCUCCGCACCUAUGCCGCGAUGCAGGAGAUUGUCGACUGCACUGGGGACUUCCAGCUUGGCGCCUGCCUGUUCGCUCGUGUCGGCGUGCUCACGACGGCGGCGGCGCUCGCCUUUCCUUUCUUGCUGGAUGCCGAGGUGAGCGCCGCGGCGGCCACCGCGGCAGCGACGGAGCGGACGGCGGUUACCUUGCCGGCUGCGCGCAGUCACGACCUCUCUGCCAUUUCUGCCGGCUACCCGCCGUACAGUUACCGCGCGGACGGCGACUUUGGAGGCUACGGUGACGGAAACAACGAGGGCCAAGGACGCGACAGCGUCUACGGUUGCUCCCCGUUCUCGUACCUGCGGUCUAGCCACAGGAGGCGCAGUUCUGGUCAGCUGCCUUCCUCGUCAGCCGGUGAUGAACAGGGCUCCCUGGAGGACGGUGUGACGCACACGGCACGACUCGUCCUCAACAGCGCCCUGCCGCCGCCAGCACGGGCGCUAAGCGAGGAGAUAAACGGCGUCCGUAUGCUGCCGCACUCAGCGGAUGCUGCUCGCGUCAGUAGUAGCCUUCCUCCUGGACACGUCCUGCUCCAUGCUGUCUCGCUGAACGACGCAGUUUCGGGCAACGGUCAUGGGAACGGUGGCGGCGUCGGCAACGCCGCAGACGUCGACAGCGAUGACGCAGACGCGGAUGUGCCGUGGGUGUGGUGGGCCGCGGCGUACCGCUCUUUUCUCGACGACGAGCAGGCGUUUGUGCGCCGCACGACGUUUGAUGUGGAGUGUCGUCAGCUGCGCGGUGGCGCGUUCCUGGCUCGUGACGCCGCCGCCAUGAGGGUCUGCAGUGCAGACGCCGCUUCUUCGUCCGUUCCUGCCGUCGCCUCGGCGGCUGGAGACGCACGUGUUGGUCGUUACGGCAGCGGGUGCCACUCCCUUCACCGUACCCCGCCGCGAGAUACGAAGGCGGCGGGACUGCGCUGCCCCUCUCCCUCUCCCUCUCCAGCGGAUCUCGUGCCGAGGUCAGUUGCGCAGUGCGUGACUCGUCAUGUGACUGGGGCUGGCGUCGGCACGACGAGCGGUGGUGGUGGUAUCGGUGUUGGCCGCGGCCAUUCAGCAACAGCAUCCUGGUCCUCUCCGUCGGCUCCGUCGGCCUUCGCAGGUCCCUACGGCGGUGGUGCUGCACACGUCACCUCCGUUACACCCCCGUACGCAUCAGCUUCCAUGAGAUCACCAGAGCCAAAUCCCUGCGUAUGCGGGGAGCAGCACACUGGAACGCAGCUUAUCCGGUCACUGCUGAGCAUCUGCAGCACGACAACGACGCGGUGCUGCGUAUGCCUCGAGACCGUGCGGCUAGGUUCCAAGGACGUUGACACUGCCUUUGCGUGGUGCACAUCGUGCGACCACGGCGGCCAUGCGUACCACCUGCAAAGCUGGUUCCGCACACACCGACGCUGCCCCGUGAACGGAUGUGGCUGCCAUUGCGAUGAGGACUCGAACUUAUACUGAUUUCCAUCUUCCGCGAGCGCACAGCGGACCCGGAGAAGCACACGCGUGCGCAUGUGCGAAGCAAGCAGCAGCACCAGCACCAGCAAGAGAGAGGGGGAGGAGGGAGUAGGGUCUGUGUGGGAGGGGGCGGGAGUGAGAGACGGCGCUCGAUUAGUGAACCUUUCUGCGUCUGCAAUUUCGUCGGCAUCGUCGUCACCGUCACCAGGUGUCGGUGAACAUACAAAAAGGAGCAAAGGAAGAAAACAAGGAACAGACGAACGUGCGAUGAUACAGAUGUGCCGGAGACCGACAUCAGUGGUGGUGCUCGGCAGGCGACAAGGCGUCUUGCUCUCAGUUAUCUCCCCCCUAUCCGCAUCCUUAUCGUGCGAAGCGCGCUCAACGCCCUCACAGGCGAGUAUAGCACCUCCGCCCCGGACUCCCUUUCUCUCUCUCCUCCUCCCCACUACUACGCACAG